rnacentral:rRNA from 1 species
ACUGAACGCUGGCGGCAUGCCUUACACAUGCAAGUCGAACGGCAGCACGGGUGCUUGCACCUGGUGGCGAGUGGCGAACGGGUGAGUAAUAUAUCGGAACGUACCUUAUUGUGGGGGAUAACGCAGCGAAAGCUGUGCUAAUACCGCAUAAUCCCUAAGGGGGAAAGCGGGGGACCGUAAGGCCUCGCGCAAUUAGAGCGGCCGAUACCUGAUUAGCUAGUUGGUGAGGUAAAGGCUCACCAAGGCAACGAUCAGUAGCUGGUCUGAGAGGACGAUCAGCCACACUGGGACUGAGACACGGCCCAGACUCCUACGGGAGGCAGCAGUGGGGAAUUUUGGACAAUGGGGCAACCCUGAUCCAGCAAUGCCGCGUGAGUGAAGAAGGCCUUCGGGUUGUAAAGCUCUUUUGUCAGGGAAGAAACAGCAGCUCUAACACAGUUUGCGAAUGACGGUACCUGAAGAAUAAGCACCGGCUAACUACGUGCCAGCAGCCGCAGUAA